ACGGAGUUACAAAGGAAUGUGGUAAACGAAGUGGUCUGGAAAGGCCCGCCAAAGAAGGUAACAGCCCUGUAAUUGAAAGCAUAUUCCCUCCAGAGUGGAUCCUGAGUACGGCGGAACACGUGAAAUUCCGUCGGAAUCCGGGAGGACCAUCUCCCAAGGCUAAAUACUCCCUAGUGACCGAUAGUGAACCAGUACCGUGAGGGAAAGGUGAAAAGCACCCCGGAAGGGGAGUGAAACAGUUCCUGAAACCGUGUGCCUACAAGUAGUUAGAGCCCGUUAAUGGGUGAUAGCGUGCCUUUUGUAGAAUGAACCGGCGAGUUACGAUUUGUUGCAAGGUUAAGCGGAAAAAGCGGAGCCGUAGCGAAAGCGAGUCUGAAUAGGGCGCAUGAGUAACAGGUCGUAGACCCGAAACCAGGUGAUCUACCCAUGUCCAGGAUGAAGGUGAGGUAAUACUCACUGGAGGUCCGAACCCACGCACGUUGAAAAGUGCGGGGAUGAGGUGUGGGUAGCGGAGAAAUUCCAAUCGAACCUGGAGAUAGCUGGUUCUCUCCGAAAUAGCUUUAGGGCUAGCCUCGAGGUAAAGAGUCGUGGAGGUAGAGCACUGUUUGGACUAGGGGCCCUUCUCGGGUUACCGAAUUCAGAUAAACUCCGAAUGCCAUGUACUUAUACUCGGGAGUCAGACUGCGAGUGAUAAGAUCCGUAGUCGAAAGGGAAACAGCCCAGACCACCAGUUAAGGUCCCAAAAUAUAUGUUAAGUGGAAAAGGAUGUGGGGUUGCAUAGACAACCAGGAUGUUGGCUUAGAAGCAGCCACCAUUGAAAGAGUGCGUAAUAGCUCACUGGUCGAGUGACCCCGCGCCGAAAAUGUACCGGGGCUAAACAUAUUACCGAAACUGUGGAUGAACCUCUUAGGAGGUUCGUGGUAGGAGAGCGUUCUAAGGGCGGUGAAGUCAGACCGGAAGGACUGGUGGAGCGCUUAGAAGUGAGAAUGCCGGUAUGAGUAGCGAAAGAAGGGUGAGAAUCCCUUCCACCGAAUAUCUAAGGUUUCCUGAGGAAGGCUCGUCCGCUCAGGGUUAGUCGGGACCUAAGCUGAGGCCGAUAGGCGUAGGCGAUGGACAACAGGUAGAUAUUCCUGUACCAGUGCUAGUUGUUU
rnacentral:rRNA from 1 species